rnacentral:tRNA from 2 species
GGAGAGAUGGAUGAGCGGUUUAAGUCGCACGCCUGGAAAGCGUGUAUAGGUUAAUACCUAUCCGGGGUUCGAAUCCCCGUCUCUCCGCCA